AGGGAAGCUCACUAGAAGAACAGAGAAUACAGUAAUAAGAUCAUCAAGAACAAUUCUGGAACCAGAAGCAUCAUGGGCUUCUAUUCCCAGGAGUUUAGCAAAGCUCUUUACAAGAAUUGCAGCAUCAGCUCCUUUCAGUCUUACUGUGCUCUGAUGUACACACUUCGGGAGCUUUCUGCCAUUUUCUGAGUUGUGAUGCCUCCUUCCUCAGCCUCUUUGACCUGCAUUUCUUGUGAAGAUGUUAUUUCCUUCUUACCAGCAGCACUCCAUUGCUUUUUGCAACAGUUGUUGGACAUACCAUAUUCCAUCUCGGCAGGGACCUGGUUUAAAGGUAGACAACAUGCAACAUGUAAAGACUGGCAUUCACUCUGUGCAAGAGCCAACGAACUCCCCAAACAAGGCUGACAUCCUGGUCUGCUACCUAUAUGUAUGUAUAUUGUGAGACAGCUUAAGGACAAGAAGUCUCUAAUGAAAACAUCAGACUAAGUUCCAGACAGCUACUCAUCUCUCCUAGUCCUUCUAAACCUAUUUCCUACCAGAAAAAGGAGCCUUGCAUGAAAUACCACUUUAUGCAGAAAGUUAAUGGAUCUUUCCUAGCCACUCAGUCAAAUGUAAUGUGAUAAUUCUUAUUUCACAAAUGGGAAUGACAAAGCAAUGAAAUGUGAACACCCAGAAGUGGACAUUAAACACAAGUUGGUUUUUUUCCACUGUAA